rnacentral:rRNA from 1 species
AGAGUUUGAUCCUGGCUCAGGAUGAACGCUGGCGGCGUGCUUAACACAUGCAAGUCGAACGAACCUUCGGGUUAGUGGCGGACGGGUGAGUAACGCGUGAGAAUCUGCCCUCAGGAGGGGGAUAACGGCUGGAAACGGCCGCUAAUACCCCAUAUGCCGCGAGGUGAAACGAAAUUCGCCUGAGGAUGAGCUCGCGUCUGAUUAGCUAGUUGGUGGGGUAAGAGCCUACCAAGGCAUCGAUCAGUAGCUGGUCUGAGAGGAUGAUCAGCCACACUGGGACUGAGACACGGCCCAGACUCCUACGGGAGGCAGCAGUGGGGAAUUUUCCGCAAUGGGCGAAAGCCUGACGGAGCAACGCCGCGUGAGGGAUGAAGGCCUCUGGGCUGUAAACCUCUUUUAUCAAGGAAGAAGAUCUGACGGUACUUGAUGAAUAAGCCACGGCUAAUUCCGUGCCAGCAGCCGCGGUAAUACGGGAGUGGCAAGCGUUAUCCGGAAUUAUUGGGCGUAAAGCGUCCGCAGGCGGUCUUUUAAGUCUGUUGUUAAAGCGUGGAGCUUAACUCCAUUUCAGCAAUGGAAACUGGAAGACUAGAGUGUGGUAGGGGCAGAGGGAAUUCUCGGUGUAGCGGUGAAAUGCGUAGAUAUCGGGAAGAACACCAGUGGCGAAGGCGCUCUGCUGGGCCAUAACUGACGCUCAUGGACGAAAGCCAGGGGAGCGAAAGGGAUUAGAUACCCCUGUAGUCCUGGCCGUAAACGAUGAACACUAGGUGUCGGGGGAAUCGACCCCCUCGGUGUCGUAGCCAACGCGUUAAGUGUUCCGCCUGGGGAGUACGCACGCAAGUGUGAAACUCAAAGGAAUUGACGGGGGCCCGCACAAGCGGUGGAGUAUGUGGUUUAAUUCGAUGCAACGCGAAGAACCUUACCAGGGUUUGACAUCCUGCGAAUCCCUUGGAAACGAGGGAGUGCCUUCGGGAGCGCAGUGACAGGUGGUGCAUGGCUGUCGUCAGCUCGUGUCGUGAGAUGUUGGGUUAAGUCCCGCAACGAGCGCAACCCACGUCGUUAGUUGCCAGCAUUCAGUUGGGCACUCUAGCGAGACCGCCGGUGAUAAACCGGAGGAAGGUGUGGAUGACGUCAAGUCAUCAUGCCCCUUACAUCCUGGGCUACACACGUACUACAAUGCUACGGACAAAGGGCAGCAAACUCGCGAGAGCUAGCAAAUCCCAUAAACCGUGGCUCAGUUCAGAUCGUAGGCUGCAACUCGCCUACGUGAAGGAGGAAUCGCUAGUAAUCGCAGGUCAGCAUACUGCGGUGAAUACGUUCCCGGGCCUUGUACACACCGCCCGUCACACCAUGGAAGUUGGCCACGCCCGAAGCCGUUACUCCAACCCUUGUGGAGGAGGAUGUCGAAGGUGGGGCUGAUGACUGGGGUGAAGUCGUAACAAGGUAACC